rnacentral:rRNA from 1 species
CGCGUAGGCGGGAUGGCAAGUCGGUCGUGAAAUCCUUCGGCUCGACCGAAGAACGUCGGCCGAUACUGCCGUUCUUGAGGGAUGCAGAGGAGACUGGAAUUCCCGGUGUAGCGGUGAAAUGUGUAGAGAUCGGGAGGAACACCGGUGGCGAAGGCGGGUCUCUGGGCAUCUCCUGACGCUGAGGCGCGAAAGCGUGGGGAGCAAACGGGAUUAGAUACCCCGGUAGUCCACGCCAUAAACGAUGACGACUAGGUGUGGGGUGGUUCAGUCCACUCCGUGCCGCAGCUAACGCAUUAAGUCGUCCGCCUGGGGAGUACGGCCGCAAGGUUGAA